GCCCAGACUCCUACGGGAGGCAGCAGUGGGGAAUAUUGGACAAUGGGGGGAACCCUGAUCCAGCGACGCCGCGUGAGUGAAGAAGUAUUUCGGUAUGUAAAGCUCUAUCAGCAGGGAAGAAAGGAAUGACGGUACCUGACUAAGAAGCCCCGGCUAACUACGUGCCAGCAGCCGCGGUAAUACGUAGGGGGCAAGCGUUAUCCGGAUUUACUGGGUGUAAAGGGAGCGUAGACGGUUACGCAAGUCUGGAGUGAAAGGCGGGGGCCCAACCCCCGGACUGCUUUGGAAACUGUGCGGCUGGAGUGCAGGAGGGGUAAGCGGAAUUCCUAGUGUAGCGGUGAAAUGCGUAGAUAUUAGGAGGAACACCGGUGGCGAAGGCGGCUUACUGGACUGUAACUGACGUUGAGGCUCGAAAGCGUGGGGAGCAAACAGGAUUAGAUACCCCGGUAA
rnacentral:rRNA from 1 species